CUGUCUGCUCUUACAGUGGUAAUUAAAGGCAGCACUCUAGAUGCUGAGGUUGUGGGUUCAAAUCCCACCAGACACA
rnacentral:tRNA from 1 species